rnacentral:snoRNA from 1 species
CAUGUGCAAUUAUGUAUCUAGAUUUAUGUAUGAAUUUAGUCGUUUAUGUACAACUGGUACGUUUCUUCAAUGAAAUACAUUUGUUACGCUUGACUUCUAAGCUA